rnacentral:rRNA from 1 species
UAAUACGGAGGGUGCGAGCGUUAAUCGGAAUUACUGGGCGUAAAGGGUGCGUAGGUUGUUUGUUAAGUUAGCUUUAAAAUACCUGGGCUUAACCUGGGGGAGUGGGCUAAUACUGAUGAACUAGAGUAUAGGAGAGGGUAGUGGAAUUUCCGGUGUAGCGGUGAAAUGCGUAGAGAUCGGAAGGAACACCAGUGGCGAAGGCGGCUACCUGGCCAGAUACUGACACUGAGGCACGAAAGCGUGGGGAGCAAACAGG